GGGGGGGGGGGGGGGGGGGGGGGGGGGGGGGGGGGCGGGGGGGGGGGGGCGGCUGGGGGGGGGGGCGCGGGUGGCGAGCGGGUGGGGAACGCGGGCGUACCCUGCCCUGGGCUGUGGGAUGACUUCAGGAAACUGGGGCUCAUCCCGUCUCGGAGCUCCUGCUGCCUGGUGGUGGUUGGAAAGUUUCGGCGGUUGGGGCUGGACUCGCGGCUUAUCAGCUUGUUGGUGGGGUAGUGUCUUACCAAGGCUUUGACGGGUAGCCGGCCUGAGAGGGUGACCGGCCACAUUGGGACUGAGAUACGGCCCAGACUCCUACGGGAGGCAGCAGUGGGGAAUAUUGCACAAUGGGCGGAAGCCUGAUGCAGCAACGCCGCGUGCGGGAUGACGGCCUUCGGGUUGUAAACCGCUUUCGCCUGUGACGAAGCGUGAGUGACGGUAAUGGGUAAAGAAGCACCGGCUAACGACGUG
rnacentral:rRNA from 1 species